GCAAAUAGUCUCUCGCCAGGAAAAGUUGUACAACACGUUACUAUAUUUUUCAUGAUUGACUUGAAGCUCGAACGGUUUUUGAGCAUUAGUUGCCCUUCUGGCAGCCAAUUGCUGGUGGUGAUUUUGUUUGCACAAGCCGCCAAUUGGUAAGUUGAAAUGUAAUUUUGAUGGAUCAAGGCAUGAUAUGGGUGGUUUUGUUAGAUGUGUUUCUGGUUUUAUGAAGAGUAAAGGGACCUUAUC
rnacentral:lncRNA from 1 species